UUUCCUUCACUAGAUCUGAAUAGGCGUCGUUGGCUGGAAGACUGCAUCUAUUAGACGUGACAGUGAAUUGCCUAAGUGGGAAGAUUCUCUGAAUGAUAAGUAUCCUCAUAUUGUUUACGAAGAGCUCUGUAAGGCAUGUGAUGUUGAGGACAUACCAGAAGGCGAAAAUCACUCAGACGACAUAGAAGAAGAAAUUAUCAAAGGUCUGUCCUCUGUAUCAUGGGAAAAAGUUGAUGUUAGCUUUCACAGUUGCAGGCAGAGGUUCGCUGCCCAUAAUGUUAUACAGGU